UACGAAGGGGGCUAGCGUUGUUCGGAAUUACUGGGCGUAAAGCGCACGUAGGCGGAUAUUUAAGUCAGGGGUGAAAUCCCAGAGCUCAACUCUGGAACUGCCUUUGAUACUGGGUAUCUCGAGUAUGGAAGAGGUGAGUGGAAUUCCGAGUGUAGAGGUGAAAUUCGUAGAUAUUCGGAGGAACACCAGUGGCGAAGGCGGCUCACUGGCUCGAUACUGACGCUGAGGUGCGAAAGCGUGGGGAGCAAACAGG
rnacentral:rRNA from 1 species